rnacentral:lncRNA from 1 species
CAGAGAUGCACGUGGUGGCCCAUGUCCUGGUCGGAGGAAUCAGACUGCCGCCCUUCCUCUCACAGAUGUAAGCUUACCAACAUCGGUACGAGGCCGCCUUCGGGGUCAGGUGUGUGCUGCGACUUUGACACAGGUUUUCUCACUCAACGCAACAGUCAGGCACUAGGGUUAUCCCCACUUUACAGAUGUGAAACUGAGGAUCAGCACGUCGGUUGUCUUGGCCAACAAAAACCAGUACUCCGUGAUUGGAGCCCGUCUGUCCAUGGCCCGUGCUCCCUCCUACACCACUUUCUUGAAAUGAGAUUUUUAAAACAGCCCUGGUUCCUGCUCAUUUCCUGUUAGGAGCAGCUUUGCGUUAGAAAGAGUAGCUUUGGCCCGUGUCCCACCACAAGGGACCCCAAUCCUGCCCCUCUGGUCUAACACCUGUCAUCGCUCCUGACACCCGUGUCAGAGAGGAAAACCAAAGAACCCACCGCAGUUACGGUAAUACCCCAAGAC